rnacentral:rRNA from 1 species
AUUGAACGCUGGCGGCAGGCCUAACACAUGCAAGUCGAGCGGAUGAAGGGAGCUUGCUCCUGGAUUCAGCGGCGGACGGGUGAGUAACGCCUAGGAAUCUGCCUGGUAGUGGGGGAUAACGUCCGGAAACGGGCGCUAAUACCGCAUACGUCCUGAGGGAGAAAGUGGGGGAUCUUCGGACCUCACGCUAUCAGAUGAGCCUAGGUCGGAUUAGCUAGUUGGUGGGGUAAAGGCCUACCAAGGCGACGAUCCGUAACUGGUCUGAGAGGAUGAUCAGUCACACUGGAACUGAGACACGGUCCAGACUCCUACGGGAGGCAGCAGUGGGGAAUAUUGGACAAUGGGCGAAAGCCUGAUCCAGCCGUGCCGCGUGUGUGAAGAAGGUCUUCGGAUUGUAAAGCACUUUAAGUUGGGAGGAAGGGCAGUAAGUUAAUACCUUGCUGUUUUGACGUUACCAACAGAAUAAGCACCGGCUAACUUCGUG